rnacentral:rRNA from 1 species
CGCGUAGGUGGUAAGGCAAGUAAGAUGUGAAAGCCCUGGGCUUAACCUGGGAAGUGCAUCUUAAACUGCUUAACUAGAGUAUGGUAGAGGGUAGUGGAAUUUCCGGUGUAGCGGUGAAAUGCGUAGAGAUCGGAAGGAACGCCAGUGGUGAAGACGACUACCUGGACCAAUACUGACACUGAGGCGCGAAAGCGUGGGGAUCAAACA